rnacentral:rRNA from 1 species
UACGAGGGGGGCAAGCGUUGUUCGGAAUUACUGGGCGUAAAGAGUGCGUAGGCGGUGCUCUAAGUCUGUUGUGAAAUCUCCCGGCUUAACUGGGAGGGUGCAGCGGAAACUGGAGUGCUUGAGGGUGGGAGAGGUAAGCGGAAUUCCUGGUGUAGCGGUGAAAUGCGUAGAUAUCAGGAGGAACACCUGUGGUGUAGACAGCUUACUGGACCACUUCUGACGCUGAGGCACGAAAGCGUGGGUAGCAAACAGG